GUGAGAGACAUGGGAUGGAGUUGGCCUACGCCGGAAGAGACCACCACCGACAGCCAAGGUAAGUUAGGUUGGACCCGACCCAAUUUCUUAACGGUCAGUGAAUCCAAUUUUCUAUAUCUGUGUUUAUAUAUCGACGGAUUGGUGAUGGUUCGAAAUGGUAAUUUUCGUAAUUAUGGUGCCAGAGAAGAAUACUCGACCGCCUGUAGACAGACGGAACACGGAAUUUCUCCAUAUUAAUUACGAUCAGAGUAACCACCGAGUUUCUCCUCCACCUACUUAUUAAUGGUGAUUAAAGCUAACCGCUUAUUUUUCUAUCUCAAAUAAUCUCGAAUCUAGUUCCGUGUUUUUAAAUUAACUAGAAUCUAGUACCUAUCUAGUAAAAUGAUUUAAUUAUUGAACCCAACGAUAUUUAGCUGCCGAAAGCAUAGACCUAUGGGUUUCAGUACGGUCGAGCAAAACCGAUCUCUAUCAGCAUUAAGUGAUAAAAUGGAAGCA
rnacentral:lncRNA from 1 species